rnacentral:rRNA from 1 species
GACGAACGCUGGCGGCGUGCUUAACACAUGCAAGUCGAACGGUGAAGCCCUUCGGGGUGGAUCAGUGGCGAACGGGUAAGUAACACGUGAGCAACCUGCCCCUGGCUCUGGGACAACCACUGGAAACGGUGGCUAAUACCGUAUACGACCCGCCUCGGCAUCGAGUGUGGGUGGAAAGUUUUUCGGCUGGGGAUGGGCUCGCGGCCUAUCAGCUUGUUGGUGAGGUGAAGGCUCACCAAGGCGACGACGGGUAGCCGGCCUGAGAGGGCGACCGGCCACACUGGGACUGAGACACGGCCCAGACUCCUACGGGAGGCAGCAGUGGGGAAUAUUGCACAAUGGGCGAAAGCCUGAUGCAGCGACGCCGCGUGAGGGAUGACGGCCUUCGGGUUGUAAACCUCUUUCAGCUCCGAAGAAGCGAAAGUGACGGUAGGAGCAGAAGAAGCACCGGCUAACUACGUG